UCUAAUAUGGCAGAAUAAUGCAAUGAAUUUAAGAUUCAUUUAUAAAGAUACGUCUUUUAUUAGAA
rnacentral:tRNA from 1 species